UCUAUAAGCUAAUUUGAGUUGUGUGAAAGAGUUCUUUCUUUUGUCUGUUCUGAAUCUAGUGCCAAACAAUUUCAAUGGGUGAGUCUGAGCUUCAUUUUACGAGAGAAAGAGAGAGACCUUUCUAUCCAUCCUCUCUAAAUCAACCUUAAUUUUAUAAGCCAUGCAGGCAUCUCCCAGCAGAAAUUAAAAUAGAUACAACUAAAACACACAAUAAAUCUGUUAAUCACAAAAUACUGCAGUAAUGCAAAGUACCUGAACCAUCAGAAGUAGCUGGCACCAGUAAAGAGGAAAGGCAGAAAGAAAC